rnacentral:lncRNA from 1 species
AGCUUCACUCCGACCCGGUUCGCAGCCGGAAAGUUUCUGGGGAGGACACUGCGGUCCCUGGGCACCCUGGGGUUACCGAGUACCGCGACCUUGCGGACUUCCGGGGCAAGAAGGCGGCUUGAAGGUGGGACGCGCUUGCUGCCGACUACUGCAAAUGGGCUGGCCAGAAAAUGACAGUUUACCGAAUUCCCUUUCUGCUUUUUACUGUUAAUUCAACGCUUAAUUAGCUCAUUGAGGACAAGUGGCCCGACCUUCCUUGGGGAACAGAUUUUGACACACAGUCAAGAUGGAUAUUAGUUAAAUAUAACUAGGACCUUUCUGUUGUAGGUUAAGCAGUGGUUCCCCCCAGGACAAAGAAAUCCUUGGGUGAGGCGUGCUUAUUUGUAGUUCUCUGAUCUGCAGAUUUGGGCAAUGACCCCUAGGUAGGCAUUACAAUUAAUAGGAAGAGUGCCAGCCACAUUUCAUCCACAUUCCACAGCUUGGCUCAACAUCUGUAGUCUCAAGGCCCUUUGUCCCAAAACAAUAAAGCUGUGUGCAUC